UACAGAGGGUGCGAGCGUUGUCCGGAAUCACUGGGCGUAAAGGGCGCGUAGGCGGCGCGGUAAGCGUGCGGUGAAAGCCCGGGGCUCAACCCCGGGUCGGCCGUGCGGACUGCCGGGCUGGAGCACUGUAGAGGCAGGUGGAAUUCCGGGUGUAGCGGUGGAAUGCGCAGAUAUCAGGAGGAACACCAAUGGCGAAGGCAGCUGGCUACGCAUAUAUUGACACUGAGGCACGAAAGCGUGGGGAUCAAACAGG
rnacentral:rRNA from 1 species